CACAGAUGGGCUGAAGUAGAGACUCAAA
rnacentral:piRNA from 1 species